CGGCUUUUCUUUCAGGCCCACGCGCCUAUAUAGGGGGUGCCGGCUUUCGGGCCGGCUAUGGCGAUAAACUGCGGCGUACAAUAGGCGCAGCGGACCCGGGGGCAGUACCCGGCGGCUCCACCAGAUGGCUCUCCUGCUCGCGGGGCCAACUGACGGGGCCGAACCAGGAUCGACGUGUGUUGAAAAGCGCUGUUUUCGCCCGGAAUGGGACCACCGCGACGGCCCAUAACACAAGUGCCAACGAUAACGAGGCGCUCGCGAUUGCGGCCUAACCCAAGACCUCACGGUCUAGGUUAGAACGACAAAAGCGCGGUUGGACCGCACCGGGCAACAGAAGCGGAUUCC
rnacentral:tmRNA from 1 species